GUCAGGAAUCUGUGUCCGCAGCCAGCACCAGGAAAUCCUGACUCCCGCGGUCCAGAGCUCAAGGGGACCAUUAACUCCUGCAGAUCAGCGCACAGCUGGGAGUGAGGCAUGCGGGAGCCUCAUGUGGGCAGAGAGCCCCAGAAACAUGACACCAAAAUGGAAUUGCUGGGCAUCCAAGACACCCUCACAAGGUUCACUGCCAUCAUCUACUGGCUUCCUUUGGAUCCCCCUGUGGCUUUGACACACCAUCUUACAGAGUCAUCUAGAUACAGGUG
rnacentral:lncRNA from 12 species